AAUCAACGCUGGCGGCGUGCCUAACACAUGCAAGUCGAACGAGAAAGUGGAGCAAUCCAUGAGUACAGUGGCGACCGGGUGAGUAACACGUGACUAACCUACCCUCGAGUGGGGGAUAACUCCGGGAAACCGGGGCUAAUACCGCAUAACAUCGCUUGGUGAAAAUCCUUGUGAUCAAAGGAGCAAUUCGCUUGAGGAGGGAGUCGCGUCUGAUUAGCUAGUUGGUGAGGUAACGGCCCACCAAGGCAAUGAUCAGUAGCCGGCCUGAGAGGGCGCACGGCCACACUGGAACUGAAACACGGUCCAGACUCCUACGGGAGGCAGCAGUGGGGAAUUUUGCGCAAUGGGGGAAACCCUGACGCAGCAACGCCGCGUGGAGGAUGAAGUCCUUUGGGAUGUAAACUCCUUUCGACCGGGAAGAUAAUGACGGUACCGGAGGAAGAAGCACCGGCUAACUCUGUGCCAGCAGCCGCGGUAAAAC
rnacentral:rRNA from 1 species